GAUGAACGCUGGCGGCGUGCCUAAUACAUGCAAGUCGAGCGAACAGACGAGGAGCUUGCUCCUCUGAUGUUAGCGGCGGACGGGUGAGUAACACGUGGAUAACCUACCUAUAAGACUGGGAUAACUUCGGGAAACCGGAGCUAAUACCGGAUAACAUGUUGAACCGCAUGGUUCAACAGUGAAAGACGGUCUUGCUGUCACUUAUAGAUGGGUCCGCGCCGCAUUAGCUAGUUGGUAAGGUAACGGCUUUCCAAGGCAACGAUGCGUAGCCGACCUGAGAGGGUGAUCGGCCACACUGGAACUUAGACACGGUCCAGACUCCUACGGGAGGCAGCAGUAGGGAAUCUUCCGCAAUGGGCGAAAGCCUGACGGAGCAACGCCGCGUGAGUGAAGAAGGUCUUCGGAGCGUAAAACUCUGUUAUUAGGGAAGAACAAAUGUGUAAGUAACUAUGCACGUCUUGACGGUACCUAAUCAGAAAGCCACGGCUAACUACGUGCCAGCCGCCGCCGUAA
rnacentral:rRNA from 1 species